rnacentral:lncRNA from 1 species
AGUCACUUGCCGGCUCUCAGAGGGCAUUUCACAUAGGAAAAAAACGUGGUUCCUGCAGACGGUUGCUGGUAUGUGGAGUCCCCCCGCCCGCCGCGGGGCUUACUGAACCUGUGCAGUAGGUGAAAUCUCUACUUUUACAACAAAGGAAAGCUUGAUGGUUCAUUGUUAAACAAAACCAUAUUUGUUUGUUUGUUGUCAAUUUAUACAUAAGAAUAAGAAAGAGUAUGUUAAAGCAGCUUCUCUGCAGUACUAGUACUGUGCUCCAAGAAAGGCAGGUUUAUACUUAGCUGUGGUCCUCAGUGGAGUCCCCAGACCUGCAAUAUCUGGGAACAGCUAAGAAAUUCAAAUUCUCAGGCUCCAGUGCAGACUUAAGAGAUCAGAAACUCUAUCUAGGGGUGGAGUUAGCAAUCUGGACUGUGACCAGCCCUCCAGGUGAUUGUGAGAAUGCAUCCUAAGACAGAGAACCACAGAGCCACAGAAAGAAGAGGCCCUGUGAAGGGAGACCCGAGGGUAUGGAGAGUUGUUGGCUCCAGCUUGGGCGCACUCGUUCUCUCUUUCUGUUUCUUUCUUCCCUCUUCCCUUCUGUUCUCUUUUCCCCUUCCGCCUCCUCUUCCUCCCCCUCCUCCUCCUCUUCCUCCUCCCCCUCCUCCUCCUCCUUCUUCUUCUUCUUCUCUCUCUCUCUCCCUUUCUCCCUCCCUCCCUCCCUCCCUCCCUCCUCUCUCUCCUGUCUGCUGUCAUUGGGAAGCUGUGUGGUCAGCCAGUCAAAAAGCAGAUUUCAGAGUCAGGAGUUCCAGGGUUCACAGUUGAGCUCCAUUCCCUACUGGGUGACUGAGGGCAGUUUCUAAACUUCUCUGAUCCUGUUCUGCCCUCUGAAGAAGGGGAAAAUAAUACAUCCUGUGUACGAUUGUUAUUGGGAAUCAAUGAGCUAGUGUAUGGAAGAGGCUGCAUGUGGUUCUUGGUACAAAGAAGCAGAUUAUUAUCAGUUACAUGUAGGUGAGGCAUCCAAAAUGCUAGGAGAAAAAACCUGAGCCUUUACACGGUAUCGCUGUGUCCAUUGUUACCUUAUCAACUCCCAUAGCAUGCUCACUUUUUUUCAUAGAAAUUGUCUAUUUUCCAUGAUUAUUCAGUGAAUCCACAACAAUCUCAUUCUUGGUUAGGGACUCAUUAAAGUGUUAUCAGUCUUAUGGAAUUAUUUAAAACCUGUGAACUCCCCCAAAUAAUGCUUGAGGGUUCCAACCUUCCCUGCCCCCUCACAAUACAGCUUCAGAAGCUGAUUUGAUCAAGUGAAACCACUGUGCCUCCUACUUCAUUUUCCCGGGUUUGCUGCUUUUCUAAGUAUGUCUCACAAAAUGUAUGCUGCUCUUUUUUUCUUUUAGUCUUCAUAUUGUAUAUUAGAUCCCUAGACUUCUUUGUUCUACACAUCUGCUGCUCUGUAUUCUGACCUACAUCUGCAUACUGCUUUAAUAGAAUGGAUGUUUGCAGACGUGACUGUGAUAUUGGAAUAUGGAAGGAUCCAUCCAGGGUCAGGAAGCAGCAGGCUGGCUUCAUUCUCAGUGUUUGUUUUCUGGGUCUUUGAAGGAGAGGUGUUGCAGGGAAAAAGGUCGUGCAUCAGGAAGUGUCAUUUAAAAAGGACCUGAGUUGGGCUGAGUUAUCAGCAAAUACACGCCAUGGCUGUGCUCCCCACCCCCCACCGUACACUAGCAGGGCAGCAGCUCUGAUUGUCUAACGAGCAGCAGAGCCGCCCAGCAGCAACCACAUUAGGAAGGAAUCGGAAACCAACGCUCCGCUGGCUGUCACCCCUUACCCACUUGCUGUCAGGUAGAGUACUUGUUUAUUAUUAAUUAUCUAUUUUCAGUAUCCUGCACCUGGGGGUGAACAUCAUCGGUGCUAAGACUUUUUAGCCUAUGGGGAUCUCUGCUGAGCACUAAAACCACGGGCUUCCCCUUGGGAAGAGGCAGAAAAUACACUUCCCAGGUUCUCACUGCCAGCUCUGACAGGCUGAACUGCAGUUGGAGAAGGAAACUGAGGACUGGGCUCCCUUCCUGUCUCCUAAGCCAGGGCAGAGCUGGGCUUCGGGUGAUGGCAGGAGACAGAGAAGCAGGUAACUUCCCUGGAGGGAGCUGAGCAGGGCAAGUCCCCUCUUCCAGGGACAUUCCAGGCAUGACAGAGGUGCACAGGCACAGAAGCCCUGCUGCUUCGGCAAGCUAGGCUGCUCAUAGCUGUGUCUACCCCUUCCCGGGACGUGGACUGUGGGGAGUGUCUAUUCAGGACCAUCUAGAAGAGUUCAGAGCCUUUCAAACUUCUUUUCAACAUGCGUUCCUGACUGAGGACACAGCUCAAAGCUGCCUCUCAGGCUUAGAAACACUUCUUAAUUUUCACUGUCGAGGGCUAGCUUUGAGUCAGAUCCUUUCACCUCAUCAAAAAGGGUGUCAGCACACAAGCGCUCCGAAAUUACUCGCUUGGCUUUCUGCUCAGGGUGACUGUGGUAAAGAAGUUACAGCCCACAGGCAAACCCCAGUAAUUGGCCUUGGCCUGGAGCCACACCUUGGAAGCCAUCUCCCAGCGGGAGUGAAAGGACUGUGGGGACAGGGCAUCAAUGUCUGCCCAAGGCAAAAUAGGGCGAACAGUAGCCUGCCUGUGGCACCCUCCCCACCUCUCUUCUAGAGCAGUAACCUUUCAUUUUCUCAGCCUCUGCAUGGGAAGUCUCAUUUAGGCUCCUUAGUUCACCCACACCUUGCUACGACAAACAAAAAAUGAUAACCAUUACAAUAUAUGGAGUCCUUACUACGUGAGCAGCACUGUAUAAGGUGUUUUCCAUGUAUCAUCGUGAUCUUCACAACAGCUGCUCAAGGAACGCAUCAUAAUGGCCCCUUUGGAGGGAACUACAGGGACCCAGGGAGGCUAAGCUACCCUUUAAGGUAAAACUGGCCAGGCCAGGAUUUGAACCCAAGCCAGCCUGACUCAACAGCAAGUGCGGUUUCCCCAACACUAUACCAUCUACCAUUCCCAGACUUCUCAGGCUUAGGCUAUGUCUGGUUUCUACGACAUCAUAAAAUAAACAUUAUUAAUUCAUGAAGAAGCAAAGGACGUGAGCCAUGGGAGUCAUUGGGUAGAUGAAUAUUGAAUGACUGAAUGGACCGGAGCUUCUGUCAGUUCCCUCUCAUCCAAAGACUCAGCACCUCCAAGGCUCAGACUCCCAGGGCACUGCUACCUCAGAGAUCUCUCCAGGCUCUGCUCACAGGCACUCACCCACUGCCUGACCUUGCAGGCUCCUGGAAUUAAGCCAUGAGUGGUUUCCUGUCUCUUGACAACAUCUACCCAGAACUCAGACUUUGGUUUUCCUUUGUCCCUAGACCACAGCCUGAGGCAGCCAAACCCAUUUCCUUGGGGAUCCAGCGCAAACCAGAGAGUGUGGACAGGCCGAUGGAAGAAUGUUGGACCAGCUUUAAGAAUGGGCUGUUCUAAGUCAUGAAUAUUGUAGGAAGCAGCUCUAAGGACCACAGGGCUGGAGGGUGCACAGGAAGGGGCCAGUGCAUACAGACAAAAUAUUACUCUGUCACCCAGACUGGAGUCCAGUGGUGUGAUCUCAGCUCACUGCAACCUCCGCCCCCUCAAGUCCAAGCCACUCUCAUGCCUCAGUCUCCUGAGUAGCUGGGAUUACAGGCACCCACCACCACGUCUGGCUAAUUUUUGUAUUUUUAGUAGAGACAGGGUUUUGCCAUCUUGGCCAGCCUGGUCUCGAACUCCUGGCCUCAAGUGAUCUGUCCACCUCAGCCUCCCAAAGUGCUGGGAUUACAGAUGUGAGCCACCACACCUGGCCUAAAAUGUCAUAUAUUUUGAACUGACUGACUUCUCCAAAAACUUAUGGUUAUUAGUUGAGAGAGAAAACUUGAGAGAAAGUUUCCCUGCACUUGGAUGAGAGGAGAGCGGAACAGCCUGCAUCUCUGGUGCUGGGGAGUAUCAAAUAAGGGGAAUUGGGAGAAGGAUGGAGGCAACAGCGUAGCUCUUUGCCUUUCAAAAUUAAAAUGGGAUGCUGCUUUAUAUUACAAAUCUAAGGAAUUAGAAGAGCAGCAAACUAAGCAACUAAGUUUGUUCUCCUUGCAUAAACUUUAAAAAGCCAGCUUAAAAGUUCUCAAGCUUAAAAUUCG